UACGAAGGGGGCUAGCGUUGUUCGGAAUUACUGGGCGUAAAGCGCGCGCAGGCGGCUAUCCAAGUCAGUGGUGAAAGCCCGGAGCUCAACUCCGGAACUGCCAUUGAACUGUUUAGCUUGAGGAUGAGAGAGGUGAGUGGAAUUCCCAGUGUAGAGGUGAAAUUCGUAGAUAUUGGGAAGAACACCGGUGGCGAAGGCGGCUCACUGGCUCAUUACUGACGCUCAGGCGCGAUAGCGUGGGGAUCAAACAGG
rnacentral:rRNA from 1 species